GACGAACGCUGGCGGCGUGCUUAACACAUGCAAGUCGAACGGAAGGGCCCUGCUUUUGUGGGGUGCUCGAGUGGCGAACGGGUGAGUAACACGUGAGUAACCUGCCCUUGACUUUGGGAUAACUUCAGGAAACUGGGGCUAAUACCGGAUAGGAGCUCCUGCUGCAUGGUGGGGGUUGGAAAGUUUCGGCGGUUGGGGAUGGACUCGCGGCUUAUCAGCUUGUUGGUGGGGUAGUGGCUUACCAAGGCUUUCACGGGUAGCCGGCCUGAGAGGGUGACCGGCCACAUUGGGACUGAGAUACGGCCCAGACUCCUACGGGAGGCAGCAGUGGGGAAUAUUGCACAAUGGGCGGAAGCCUGAUGCAGCAACGCCGCGUGCGGGAUGACGGCCUUCGGGUUGUAAACCGCUUUCGCCUGUGACGAAGCGUGAGUGACGGUAAUGGGUAAAGAAGCACCGGCUAACUACGUG
rnacentral:rRNA from 1 species